AGGUUAAGCUACAAAGGGCGCAUGGCGAAUGCCUUGGCACUAGGAGCCGAAGAAGGACGCGUUAAGCUGCGAUAAGCUUUGGGUAGGCGCAAAUAGCCUGUGAUCCAAAGAUUUCCGAAUGGGGGAACCCACAUAGUAACAAC
rnacentral:rRNA from 1 species